GACUUCAGCUUCAUCAAAAACUACCUUGACCAAAAACUUUAACCUGACACGCCCACUUUCAUUUUCUAUGUUCAGUGGACCGUGAAAUUGGGGUCAAAAGUCUAAUUUGGCUUUAAAAUUAGAAAGAUCAUAUCAUAAGCAACAAGUAUACUAAGUUUCAAGUUGAUUGGACUUCAGCUUCAUCAAAAACUACCUUGACCAAAAAUUUUAACAUGAACGGACGCACAGACGAACGGAC
rnacentral:lncRNA from 1 species